rnacentral:rRNA from 1 species
AAUUCGACGCAAAGCGAAAAACCUACACCAACGGUUUGACAUACCAAUCGUAUCCCUAAGAACUAGGGAGUCAGUUCGGCUGGAUUGGAUACAGGUGUUGCAUGGCUGUCGUCAGCUCGUGUCGUGAGAUGUCGGGCUAAGUCCUUUAACGAGCGCAACCCUCAUUGCAUGUAAUUUUUCAUGCGAGACUGCCCUGGUUAACAGGGAGGAAGGUGGGGAUGACGUCAAGUCAGCAUGGCCCUUACACCUUGGGCUACACACGUGUUACAAUGGCCGGUACAAUAAGUCGCAAUACCGUAAGGUGGAGCUAAUCUAUGAAAACCGGUCCCAGUUCGGAUUGGGGGCUGAAACUCGCCCCCAUGAAGUCGGAAUCGCUAGUAACCGUGAAUCAGCACGUCACAGUGAAUACGUUCCCGGGUCUU